rnacentral:lncRNA from 1 species
GUGGAGGAAAGCUCCUUAACCUACCAGGGAGUCAUCUGCAGAUUCAGAAACCAGAAGGCAUGAGCAGAACUUAAAAAGUUGAAGAUUUUCCAUGAAAAAAAUGAAAAACUUGUGAUUCUCAAGUCAAUCUUUUCCUUUCAGGGGGGCUCAUGAAGCUGAGAUCUGACAUGACCACAGGUGGAUUUUGCUUCCAGUGAAGAUGGUAUAAGGCAUAAACUGCAAAGGGGUGAUCUGCCCCCAACUCUACCAGCCUCACUGCUGAGGGACAGGAAAACUCAGCUCUGGCUCAUUAUGGACUUGAUGGUAUCUACUUUUGUUUCUCUGUGGAGCUGAAGCUCUGGUGCUCUCCGAGUGUGCAUGAUAAAACCUUGACUGCACCCCAGGCAGGGCAGGGAUUCCUCAGGUCCAUGGAUGAACAGAAAAUCACACCUGUGGGCAGAAGCUGAGCCCUGAAAAGCUGCCUCAGGCUUCCUCCAACAUUAACUUCCUGAAUUAAACUCAACCUCAGUUUUUAUACUAUUCUUGCCACCUUUUUUCUUUCAGUUGACUUGAGUAGAUUAAUUUCAAAAAGUAAAAUAAAAUAAAUAGUG